rnacentral:rRNA from 1 species
GUGGGGAAUAUUGGACAAUGGGCGAAAGCCUGAUCCAGCAAUGCCGCGUGAGUGAUGAAGGCCCUAGGGUUGUAAAGCUCUUUUACCAGGGAUGAUAAUGACAGUACCUGGAGAAUAAGCUCCGGCUAACUCCGUGCCAGCAGCCGCGGUAAUACGGAGGGAGCUAGCGUUGUUCGGAAUUACUGGGCGUAAAGCGCGCGUAGGCGGUUUUUUAAGUCAGAGGUGAAAGCCCGGGGCUCAACCCCGGAAUUGCCUUUGAAACUGGAGAACUUGAAUCUUGGAGAGGUCAGUGGAAUUCCGAGUGUAGAGGUGAAAUUCGUAGAUAUUCGGAAGAACACCAGUGGCGAAGGCGACUGACUGGACAAGUAUUGACGCUGAGGUGCGAAAGCGUGGGGAGCAAACAGGAUUAGAAACCCUGGUAGUCC